UGGGGAAUUUUGGACAAUGGGGGAAACCCUGAUCCAGCAAUGCCGCGUGUGCGAUGAAGGCCUGCGGGUUGUAAAGCACUUUCGGUGGGGAGGAAAUGCUCAAAGUUAAUACCUUUGAGAGCUGACGUUACCCACAGAAGAAGCACCGGCAAACUCUGUGCCAGCAGCCGCGGUAAUACAGAGGGUGCAAGCGUUAAUCGGAGUUACUGGGCGUAAAGGGCGCGUAGGCUGAUAUUUAAGUUAAUUGUGAAAUCCCUGGGCUUAACCUAGGAAUUGCAGUUAAUAAUGAGUAGCUAGAGUAUGGUAGAGGAAAGUGGAAUUCUCGGUGUAGUGGUGAGAUACGUAGGUAUCGAGAAGAACACCGGUGGCGAAGGCGACUUUCUGGACCAAUACUGACGCUGAGGCGCGAAAACGUGGGGAGCAAACA
rnacentral:rRNA from 1 species